GAAAUGCGAUAAGUAAUGUGAAUUGCAGAAUUCAGUGAAUCAUCGAAUCUUUGAACGCACAUUGCGCCCCCUGGUAUUCCGGGGGGCAUGCCUGUUCGAGCGUCAUUUCACCACUCAAGCCUCGCUUGGUAUUGGGCGACGCGGUCCGCCGCGCGCCUCAAAUCGACCGGCUGGGUCUUCCGUCCCCUCAGCGUUGUGGAAACUAUUCGCUAAAGGGUGCCGCGGGAGGUCACGCCGCAAAACAACCCCAUUUCUAAGGUUGACCUCGGAUCAGGUAGGGAUACCCGCUGAACUUAAGA
rnacentral:misc_RNA from 1 species